rnacentral:rRNA from 1 species
GACGAACGCUGGCGGCGUGCUUAACACAUGCAAGUCGAACGCUGAAGCUCAGCUUUUGUUGGGUGGAUGAGUGGCGAACGGGUGAGUAACACGUGAGUAACCUGCCUCCUUCUUUGGGAUAACGCCCGGAAACGGGUGCUAAUACUGGAUAUUCACUGGUCUUCGCAUGGGGGUUGGUGGAAAGGGUUUUUCUGGUGGGGGAUGGGCUCGCGGCCUAUCAGCUUGUUGGUGGGGUGAUGGCCUACCAAGGCUUUGACGGGUAGCCGGCCUGAGAGGGUGACCGGGCACAUUGGGACGGAGAUGCGGCCCAGACUAGUACGGGGGGGAGCAGUGGGGAAUAUUGCAGAAUGGGCGCAAGAGUGAUGCAGCGACGGCGCGGGAGGGAUGGAGGCCUUCGGGUUGUGAACCUCUUUCGCUCAUGGUCAAGCCGCAACAAUGGUUGUGGUGAGGGUAGUGGGUAAAGAAGCGCCGGCUAACUACGUG